GUAUAAGAGACAGCAGUCGCCACGGUAAUACGGAGGAUCCAAGCGUUAUCCGGAAUCAUUGGGUUUAAAGGGUCCGUAGGCGGUCUUGUAAGUCAGUGGUGAAAGCCCAUCGCUCAACGGUGGAACGGCCAUUGAUACUGCAGGACUUGAAUUAUUGGGAAGUAACUAGAAUAUGUAGUGUAGCGGUGAAAUGCUUAGAGAUUACAUGGAAUACCAAUUGCGAAGGCAGGUUACUACCAAUUGAUUGACGCUGAUGGACGAAAGCGUGGGUAGCGAACAGGAUUAGAUACCCCAGUAGUCCCUGUCUCUUAUAC
rnacentral:rRNA from 1 species